GGAAGUUUUAUCUCGAGUACCACUCACAUGACCACUAUACGUAUUACCACCACCACUAACAAAUUGUACGUAGUGGCCGGUUGAAUAAUAUACCUGAAGAGGACGAAGUUAAGUGCAUUAAAUAAGUAUGACUGCGGGCUUCAUAAGCAGUAAUAUAGUACACCUGGCCUGAAGAUAAGUUUAACGUGUACCACCAGUUGUAUAUAUACAUCGCUCGGAAUGUGUUUCAGACGAAUGUAUGUAUGAUGGUAACGGAAUCUUUGAACAUGAUUUUGAACCCCUUCAAUACAUCGGAUUAGCUCGAAAUUUGGUAUACUUAUUAAGGACCGAUGACAAAUCAACAUAUAAAAAAAACUGAAAAAAAAUAUUGAAAAAAUUGAAAGUCAGCUAAAAAAUAAAAAAUAAAUAAUAGUUUAAAAAAACUAACAAAAUACGCUUUUAUAGAACAGAAUAGCAAUGUUAUGCCCGUACGAGUAACGUCAUUUGUCGAUAAAUAGCAAAACCGGUUAUCAAAAUAACUGCAACAUCUUUUGAAUUUUCGGGAACAUUGUAGACAUAGUUGAAACGACUUUAAAAGUAUGAUAUAGACAACAUGAAGACUGCUGUAUUCGAAGCGAAGCGACGAACAAACAUCAUCUCAAGAAAACGAAAAAGUCAAUUAUAAUAGUCUACGUCAAUUGUCGUAACAAUUAAAUUGAAUUUUAAUUA